rnacentral:rRNA from 1 species
AGUGAACGCUGGCGGUAGGCCUAACAUAUGCAAGUCGAACGGCAGCACAGUAAGAGCUUGCUCUUACGGGUGGCGAGUGGCGGACGGGUGAGGAAUACAUCGGAAUCUACUUUUUCGUGGGGGAUAACGUAGGGAAACUUACGCUAAUACCGCAUACGACCUACGGGUGAAAGCAGGGGAUCUUCGGACCUUGCGCGAUUGAAUGAGCCGAUGUCGGAUUAGCUAGUUGGCGGGGUAAAGGCCCACCAAGGCGACGAUCCGUAGCUGGUCUGAGAGGAUGAUCAGCCACACUGGAACUGAGACACGGUCCAGACUCCUACGGGAGGCAGCAGUGGGGAAUAUUGGACAAAGGGCGCAAGCCUGAUCCAGCCAUACCGCGUGGGUGAAGAAGGCCUUCGGGUUGUAAAGCCCUUUUGUUGGGAAAGAAAAGCAUCAGGUUUAUACCCCGCUGUUCUGACGGUACCCAAAGAAUAAGCACCGGCUAACUUCGUG